rnacentral:rRNA from 1 species
AUAGCGUUUUGGACCCACCUGACUUCCAUGCCGAACUCAGAAGUGAAACGAAAUAGCGUCGAUGGUAGUGUGGGGCUUCCCCAUGUGAGAGUAGAACAUCGCCAGGC